rnacentral:rRNA from 1 species
CGCUGGCAGCAUGCAUAACACAUGCAAGUCGAACGGAACUUCCUUGAGAUUAUAUCAAUGGGAAGUUUAGUGGCAGACGAGUGAGUAACACGUAAGGAAUCUGCCCUCGAGAAGGGAUAACGGGCUGAAAGGUCCGCUAAUACCCUGUACGAUAUCAAGGUGGCAUCAUCUUGAUAUGAAAGGCCCGCAAGGGUCGCUCGAGGAUGAUCUUGCGUCCUAUCAGCUAGUUGGUGAGGUAACGGCCCACCAAGGCUAUGACGGGUACCCGCCCUGAAAGGGGAACGGGCACGGAGGCACUGAGACACGGGCCUCACUCCUACGGGAGGCAGCAGUGGGGAAUUUUGGACAAUGGGGGAAACCCUGAUCCAGCAAUGCUGCGUGAAGGAUGAAGGUCUUCGGAUCGUAAACUUCUUUUCUGGGGGACGAAUGUCCGCAAGGACUUGACGGUACUCCAGGAAUAAGCCACGGCUAAAUAUGUG